rnacentral:rRNA from 1 species
CCUACGGGGGGCAGCAGUGGGGAAUAUUGGGCAAUGGGCGCAAGCCUGACCCAGCAACGCCGCGUGAAGGAAGAAGGCUUUCGGGUUGUAAACUUCUUUUGUCAGGGACGAAGCAAGUGACGGUACCUGACGAAUAAGCCACGGCUAACUACGUGCCAGCAGCCGCGGUAAUACGUAGGUGGCAAGCGUUAUCCGGAUUUACUGGGUGUAAAGGGCGUGUAGGCGGGUCGGCAAGUCAGAUGUGAAAACCCCGGGCUCAACCUGUGACCUGCAUUUGAAACUGUCGGUCUUGAGUGCUGGAGAGGCAGACGGAAUUCCUAGUGUAGCGGUGAAAUGCGUAGAUAUUAGGAGGAACACCAGUGGCGAAGGCGAAUUGCUGGACUGCAACUGACGCUGAGGCGCGAAAGCGUGGGGAGCAAACAGGAUUAGAUACCCGUGUAGUC